rnacentral:rRNA from 1 species
UACAGAGGUCUCAAGCGUUGUUCGGAUUCAUUGGGCGUAAAGGGUGCGUAGGUGGCGAGGUAAGUCGGAUGUGAAAUCCCGGGGCUCAACCCUGGAACUGCAUUCGAUACUGCCUGGCUAGAGUACUGGAGAGGAGAUUGGAAUUUACGGUGUAGCAGUGAAAUGCGUAGAUAUCGUAAGGAAGACCAGUGGCGAAGGCGGAUCUCUGGACAGUUACUGACACUGAGGAGCGAAAGCGUGGGGAGCGAACAGG